rnacentral:rRNA from 1 species
GUGGGGAAUAUUGGACAAUGGGCGAAAGCCUGAUCCAGCCAUGCCGCGUGUGUGAAGAAGGUCUUCGGAUUGUAAAGCACUUUAAGUUGGGAGGAAGGGCAUUAACCUAAUACGUUAGUGUUUUGACGUUACCAACAGAAUAAGCACCGGCUAACUUCGUGCCAGCAGCCGCGGUAAUACGAAGGGUGCAAGCGUUAAUCGGAAUUACUGGGCGUAAAGCGCGCGUAGGUGGUUCAGCAAGUUGAAGGUGAAAUCCCCGGGCUCAACCUGGGAACUGCCUCCAAAACUACUGAGCUAGAGUACGGUAGAGGGUAGUGGAAUUUCCUGUGUAGCGGUGAAAUGCGUAGAUAUAGGAAGGAACACCAGUGGCGAAGGCGACUACCUGGACUGAUACUGACACUGAGGUGCGAAAGCGUGGGGAGCAAACAGGAUUAGAAACCCCGGUAGUCC